UUGAACUCUGCAAAUUCACCCCGUAAGUUCGCGAUAAGGGGUACCCUUGAGGGUGCAAGCCUUCGAGGGUCACAGAAAAUCGGCUCUAGCAACUGUUUAUCAAAAACACAGGACUCUGCUAACUCGCAAGAGGAUGUAUAGAGUCUGACGCCUGCCCGGUGUUGGUAGGUUAAGGAAGAAGGUUAGCCUCACGGCGAAGCUUGCGACCGAAGCCCCAAUAAACGGCGGCCGUAACUAUGACGGUCCUAAGGUAGCGAAGUUCCUUGUCGGGUAAGUUCCGACCUGCAUGAAUGGCGUAAUGACUGGAGCACUGUCUCAACCACCAACCCGGUGAAAUUGUAGUCGUGGUGAAGAUGCCACGUACCCGCGGUUAGACGGAAAGACCCCAUGAACCUUGACUGUAGGCUGAUAUUGGGCUGAGAUUUGUUUUGUGUAGGAUAGGUGGGAGGCUUUGAACCGGUGGCGCCAGCCAUUGGGGAGCCAACGUCGAAAUACCACCCUGAACAUGUUUUAGUUCUAACCUCGAUCCAGUGAAACCUGGCGAGGGACAGUGUCAGCUGGGCAGUUUGACUGGGGCGGUCUCCUCCAAAAGAGUAACGGAGGAGUACAAAGGCACCCUCAGCCUGGUCGGCGAUCAGGCACUGUGCGCAAUGGUAGAAGGGUGCUCAACUGCGAGACCGAUAAGUCGAGCAGAUGUGAAAGCAGGUCAUAGUGAUCCGGUGAUUCCGUAUGGAAGGGUCAUCGCUCAUCAGAUAAAAGGUACUCUGGGGAUAACAGGCUGAUCGCUACCGAGCGUCCACAGCGGCGUAGCGGUUUGGCACCUCGAUGUCGGCUCAUCACAUCCUGGGGGUGUAGAAGCUCCCAAGGGUUUGGCUGUUCGCCAAUGAAAGUGGUACGUGAGCUGGGUUCAGACCGUCGUGAGACAGGUCGGUCCCUAUCUGCCGUGGGCGUACGAAACUUGAGGAGCCUCUUCUUUAGUACGAGAGGAUUUGGAAGGACACAGCUCUGGUGUACCAGUUGUCACGCUAGUGGCACGGCCGGAUAGCUAUCUGUGGAAAGGAUAAACGCUGAAAGCAUCUAAGCGUGAAGCCCGCUCCAAGAAUAGGUUUCGUAAGAGCAACGCUCGAAAGUCCCCUUGAAGACGACAAGGAUGAUAGGCCGGAUGUGUAAGUUCAGUAAUGGAUUUAGCUAACCGGUACUAACGGACAAACGCUUGGCCAC
rnacentral:rRNA from 1 species